GUAUGGUGGAAGCUGUUGCCAAGGUUCCGACCAGAAAAGACAGCCGGUAUAAAAGGGCCCACACCACUGAUCUCUACUACAGGGGAUAGACAGCACAUCGAGGACCCUCGACUGAAGCCAACCUUGUCCCGGAAGUUGGUGCUUCACAACUUUGCGGCAGCACUUCGUUUGUACGGCCUGUGGAGACAAGGUUUCUUAGACAUGGCCAUGGCCCUCAAAGAAGAUGCCGAGGCCACAGGCAGUUCCUCCAGUGACCGUGAAAAGGUCCCCUGGGGCACAAGUCUAAUUUGGCACCCCUACCUUUCUCCUGCAACUUUUCUGUCUACUUAGCUAACCAGCAGCAAAUUUAUCCUUGCAAGCGUUUGGGGUCAAGAACAACUUUCACCAGGAAGAAGUGCAAGACGAAUGAUUGAAGAAAAUAAAGUUGCUUCUGUGGUCUAAGAA
rnacentral:lncRNA from 1 species